UUCGGAUGUACGAACAGCGGUAGCGGCUUCGUCCCUGGUUUCAUACUUUUCCUCGUUUUUCGCUGCUUCAAGGUCCAACCCUGCAGCGUGGUGGAUUCUUCGCCUCCUUUCAAAGGAUUGUAUGUUGCAGCUGCCGGGACAGGAGCGCUACCUGUGCUUCCAACUCAGCAGUGUCUUGGUCUUCAGCUACCUCGGCCUUAUUGAGCGUGUUCCCGACAGGCGGCAAGUGUGGCCACACAUUCGAUUCCGGACUUGCGCGGCUGGCUUGAAGCAAUGGUUUGGGGAGAUCUAUCGAUGCCGAUUCAACUACCUUCUGCUCCACCUACGGAACUGGAGCCCGGGAGUCCUCGUUUGGAACUGCAGCUUGUCCUCGCCGACGACGCGUUCGUCUCCUCCGGUGUUGCACUGACGCAGCCGCCUCCUUCUGGGGCGUACUUGUUUAGCUCAUUUGCUUCAGCAUUUUUUUUCUCCUUUUUUGGUUUAGGGCAGUCUUUGGAAUUGGCCUCGUGGGGUCCAUCGCAAUUCAAGGACUUCGUUUCAUUUACUGUGCAUGAAGAUACGAAGCACGUAAUUUUAAAUAAUGCUUGCAGUCAGGAUAACAUACUCAAAGAUGCCCUAAUUCAGUGAUGAACAGUAGUUCUGGUUGUGCAUGUAAGU